rnacentral:rRNA from 1 species
UGGGGAAUCUUGCGCAAUGGGCGAAAGCCUGACGCAGCCAUGCCGCGUGAAUGAUGAAGGUCUUAGGAUUGUAAAAUUCUUUCACCGGGGACGAUAAUGACGGUACCCGGAGAAGAAGCCCCGGCUAACUUCGUGCCAGCAGCCGCGGUAAUACGAAGGGGGCUAGCGUUGCUCGGAAUUACUGGGCGUAAAGGGAGCGUAGGCGGACAUUUAAGUCAGGGGUGAAAUCCCGGGGCUCAACCUCGGAACUGCCUUUGAUACUGGGUGUCUUGAGUGUGAUAGAGGUAUGUGGAACUCCGAGUGUAGAGGUGAAAUUCGUAGAUAUUCGGAAGAACACCAGUGGCGAAGGCGACAUACUGGAUCAUUACUGACGCUGAGGCUCGAAAGCGUGGGGAGCAAACAGGAUUAGAUACCCUGGUAGUCCACGCCGUAAACGAUGAUUGCUAGUUGUCGGGGUGUUUACACCUCGGUGACGCAGCUAACGCAUUAAGCAAUCCGCCUGGGGAGUACGGUCGCAAGAUUAAAACUUAAAUGAAUUGAC